CCCCAUAAUGUUUUGAAAAUAAUACUACUACUGACAUCGACCAUAAAUUUUGGAUGAUGUAUGAGUAGAUUGAGGCAAUCCAUCACCAAGCACCAACUCUUGACGAUAGGUACAACACUAACCCAUCGUUCAGUGACUGAAUAAUGCAAGAGUCGCUCCCCCUAAACUUCAAGAUGCCAUAAUUUGAGAGUUAUCAUGGGAUCAUUGAUCCUAUAGAUCAUUUGGAGAGUUUCAAGUCCCUGA
rnacentral:lncRNA from 1 species